AUGGUGAUGACUUGUGAUAUUACCUUCUCAGCGUGAAGCUGACAGAGAGUAGUGAUUCAGUUCGUAUGCUCUCUGUCAUUGAGGAUCGUUCUUUGCUUCUCUGAGGAGUAAUAAGGUGGAGAAUAUGUUCAGAGU
ensembl:snoRNA U3 Small nucleolar RNA U3